rnacentral:rRNA from 1 species
CCUACGGGUGACAGCAGUAGGGAAUCUUCCACAAUGGGCGAAAGCCUGAUGGAGCAACGCCGCGUGGGUGAAGAAGGUCUUCGGAUCGUAAAACACUGUUGUUAGAGAAGAAAGUGCGUGAGAGGAACUGUUCACGUUUCGACGGUACCUAACCAGAAAGCCACGGCUAACUACGUGCCAGCAGCCGCGGUAAUACGUAGGUGGCAAGCGUUAUCCGGAUUUAUUGGGCGUAAAGGGAACGCAGGCGGUCUUUUAAGUCUGAUGUGAAAGCCUUCGGCUUAACCGGAGUAGUGCAUUGGAAACUGGGAGGCUUGAGUGCAGAAGAGGGGAGUAGAACUCCAUGUGUAGCGGUGAAAUGCGUAGAUAUAUGGAGGAACACCAGUGGCGAAAGCGGCUCUCUGGUCUGUAACUGACGCUGAGGUUCGAAAGCGUGGGUAGCAAACAGGAUUAGAUACCCCUGUAGUC